rfam:Myotis davidii contig36647, whole genome shotgun sequence.
GGCGGUUCUCCCGUGAUGCACCCGGGAAUCAGGCUCCCUCCUCUCUGGUUCUGGGGCGCGUCACCCAAGAACUGCC